GACAGAGGGUGCAAACGUUGUUCGGAAUUACUGGGCGUAAAGCGCGUGUAGGCGGCUAUGCAAGUCGGGCGUGAAAGCCCUCGGCUCAACCGAGGAAGUGCACUCGAAACUGCGUAGCUAGAGUCCCGGAGAGGAAGGUGGAAUACUUGGUGUAGAGGUGAAAUUCGUAGAUAUCAAGUGGAACACCGGUGGCGAAGGCGGCCUUCUGGACGGUGACUGACGCUGAGGCACGAAGGCCAGGGGAGCAAACGGG
rnacentral:rRNA from 1 species